AUAAAAGCGAUGAUUCAGGAUAUGUCUUUGAUGAAAUAUCUUUAGAGAAGAAGUGGUUGGUGAAAACUUCUGAUAGGAAACAAAAGAUACUCCCUGUUAGCUGAGCUCGAAAGAGAUCUCCGGAUACUCACGUUACGAGAUAUGAGGUUACAUAGUAACAAAUAAAGGUGGUACCACGAGUCCUUUCGUCCUUUGG
rnacentral:ncRNA from 1 species